ACAACAUGGAGGUCAGAGCUUUCUGCAUCGCACUGUUGACUGUGAUGAUCCUGCUGUGUGCACAGGAUCAGGAAGUUCAUGCAGCUUUUCUUCGUAUCUCUCCAAACAGACUGCAGUUCUUUGAAUAUGAGUCGGUCACUUUGUACUGUGAAGGAGUCUUUUACUGUAAGGUUGAACAUAAAUCGAUUGGGGCGAGGCCCUCAUGUUGCACCACUGAUGACAGAACAUUUAGAGGACCUAAC